CCUUAGCUCAGUCGGUAGAGCAACUGACUUUUAAUCAGUAGGUCGAAGGUUCGAAUCCUUCAGG
rnacentral:tRNA from 1 species